rnacentral:lncRNA from 1 species
UAUUUUAUAACAGAUUGCACACCUGCAAAUACAAUGAAAUGCAGCUGUUUUGACGUUGGAAUUAAAACUGGAAUGUAAGAUAUUCUUGUUUCUAAAAAAGAGUCGUAUACCAGUUUGAACUAAGCAAUAGAACUCAGAAGAAUAUGACAGUAUUCAACUUUGUAGCAUGAGUGAACUGUUGGAGAUAUAUUAUCAAAUGCUGAAAUCAGAAAUGAGUGUUAUUGUGAAAGACAUAAAAUUAAAUAGUUUCGAUGGAAAAUUACAAGAUAAGUACUCAUCAUUAUUGGUAGAUUUUUCAAAGAAGCAUGAAAUAACGCCAUUUUCUCAAUCCCUUGCGUAAGUAUCAAUUUAAAUUC